AUGGAGCACCUCUUCAACCUGAGCCUGAGGCUGGGACGAGUCCCACAGCUCUGGAAAACCUCCUGUGUUGUACCAGUGCCAAAGACUUCACACCCCAAGGACCUAAACAGCUACAGGCCGGUGGCUCUGACAUCCCACCUGAUGAAGACCCUGGAGCGGUUGGUCCUGGCUCAGCUUCGGCGCCUUGUGAGCUCAUCACUGGACCCACUUCAGUUUGCCUACCAGCCUGGCAUUGGAGCGGAUGAUGCCAUCAUUCACCUCCUACAUCGUUCCCUCGCUCACCUGGAGACCGCUGGGAGCACUGUGAGAAUCAUGUUCUUUGAUUUCUCCAGUGCCUUCAACACCAUUCUUCCCUCGGUUCUGAAGGACAAGCUGGAGAACUCAGAAGUGGACCAUCACCUCACUACCUGGAUUCUGGACUACCUCACCGACCGACCACAGUAUGUGAGGACUCAGGGCUGUGUGUCGGACAGGGUCGUCUGCAGUACGGGGGCCCCACAGGGAACGGUUCUGGCUCCGCUCCUCUUCACCAUCUACACUGCAGACUUCUCCCACAACUCCACCCAGUGCUUCCUGCAGAAGUUCUCUGAUGACUCUGCAAUAGUCGGCCUCAUCACUGAUGGGGACGACAAGGAGUACAGAGGACUGACUCAAGACUUUGUGGUCUGGUGCCAGCUGAACUACCUCCAGAUCAAUGCCAGUAAAACCAAGGAGCUGGUGGUAGACUUCCGCAGGCACAAACAUCCUCCACUGCAACCACUGAACAUCCAAGGUAUGGACAUUGAGGCCGUGGACAGCUACAGGUACCUUGGUGUUCAUCUGAACAGCAAACUGGACUGGACUCAUAAUUCAGACGCCCUCUACAGGAAAGGGCAGAGCAGGCUGUACCUGCUGCGGAAACUCAGGUCGUUUGGAGUGGAGGGCCCACUCCUGAAGACCUUCUAUGACUCUGUGGUGGCCUCUGCCAUCUUUUAUGGUGUGGUCUGCUGGGGUGGCAGCAUCUCUGCUGGGGACAGGAAGAGACUGAACAGGCUGAUCCGAAGGGCCAGCUCUGUUCUAGGAUGCCCUCUGGACCCAGUGGAGGUGGUGAGUGACAGGAGAAUGGCGGCUAAACUGUCAUCCCUGUUGGACAACAUCUCCCACCCCAUGCAUGAGACUGUGACAGCACUGAGCAGCUCCUUCAGUGGGAGACUGCGGCACCCACGGUGUGGGACGGAGAGAUUUCGCAGGUCUUUCCUCCCCACUGCUGUCAGACUCCACAACAAAGACUUCAACUGA
rnacentral:lncRNA from 1 species